rnacentral:tRNA from 2 species
GGCUGUAGCUCAGUCGGUUAGAGCAUCGGACUCAUAAUCCGCCGGUCACUUGUCCGAUCAGCAGUGCCGCAAUCGUUGUGGCUGCCA